UUAAUCGAUUGGUUAAAGGUUCGAGCCGAGCGAAGCGAGACAGCAACGCGCCAGCGUUGACCCGAAGGGCGAAUCCGAAGGAUGAGUAAUCCCGCACGACCCACCA
rnacentral:sRNA from 1 species